rnacentral:rRNA from 1 species
GACGAACGCUGGCGGCGUGCUUAACACAUGCAAGUCGAACGGAAAGGCCCUGCUUUUGUGGGGUGCUCGAGUGGCGAACGGGUGAGUAACACGUGAGUAACCUGCCCUUGACUUUGGGAUAACUUCAGGAAACUGGGGAUAAUACCCGAUAGGAGCUCCUGCUGCAUGGUGGGGGAUGGAAAGUUUCGGCGGUUGGGGAUGGACUCGCGGCUUAUCCGCUUGUUGGUGGGGUAGUGGCUUACCAAGGCUUUGACGGGUAGCCGGCCUGAGAGGGUGACCGGCCACAUUGGGACUGAGAUACGGCCCAGACUCCUACGGGAGGCAGCAGUGGGGAAUAUUGCACAAUGGGCGGAAGCCUGAUGCAGCAACGCCGCGUGCGGGAUGACGGCCUUCGGGUUGUAAACCGCUUUCGCCUGUGACGAAGCGUGAGUGACGGUAAUGGGUAAAGAAGCACCGGCUAACUACGUG